CCACAAAAAAAGCAGGAUUAAGACAUGUGGGCCUUACAGUGAUGGUGAAAACUUCACAUUAAUUAUGGAUGAAAGGUUCAGCAGAGCCAAGCAAGAGGUAAGAGGUUCCCCUUCAGUCUUGAUUGGAAAGAAGAGGAUGUGGAACACAGACAUACACAAUCCAUGAAAGGAAAAAUGACUCAGAGCUGCAACUACAGACCAGAAAGAGGAUAACUUUUGGCUCUAAAACAAAAAAGCCAGAGGCACUGACUUUUCCG